GAGAGCCUUUCUUUUCCCAACCCCAGCCGCCAACGCCUUAGGGUUAGUUCGCCGCUGCCGCCGUCACGAGCUCGCCUCUGCUGCUGUCUGGUGACUGCCCUGCUGCUGGUACCGCCGUGGUUGCAGUCCUCGCUGCUCGCCGUCGUUGCAGUCCUCGCUGCUCGCCGUCGCUGCUGCUAGGUCCAGGAGUUUCGGGUGUGAGGCAUAAAUCUGCGGAUUAAUUGUCCGUCCUAUUUCGGGAUUAAGGCAAGUACAUGACGAGCCCCCUGUGAAAUUGUUUGCCAACGUUGUUUGGUUAUCCGAGUUGAUAUUUGAAUUCCUUGGGGUUUGUGCUAUCGGAAGGUUUUGUUUUAAGUCAGGGCGGUGAGUAAGUUACAGGUAACUAUUCCGGUGCGGUCGGUGAGUUAAGUUAUUAUGUAACUAUUCCGGUGAGCUGGAGCUAGGUCGGUGAGUAAUUCACAUGUUUAACUAUACCGGUGCGGACGGUGAGAAAGUUAACGGUGAAUAUUCCGGAAUGCUCCAAUCAAAAAAAGUACAAAGUUUAUAAAGAGUUUCAUGGCUUUAUUUUG